GAAACUUUAAAGCACAUAGUUUUGUUCUAGGCAAUUUUGCAACGACCUUUUCCUUUAUAGGUGUUCGUUGUCACGGAUUUUUUUUUUUUUUUUUUUUUUUGCAUACAUUGCCAAGAGAGUGAUAUCUCUACAAAACGAGCUGUGGGUAAGAUUUUUUUUUGAGUAAGUGAUAGAGUAUUAGAACCUUAUAGUUAUUGAGUAUAAUUCUUAUCUCAGAUAGGACUUUUUCUAAUGUUACAGAUACUGAGGUAUCUUUGGCAAUGCAAGUUACCGAUGAUGUAUUAGUUGUGUACAUGCAGGUUUUUUUUUGGUAUGGAAAAGUGAAUUGAUUUGGAAAAUUGUCGAUCCCUAUAGGAUCAAAAUUUUGGCUAUGAUUUUUUUUUGUGCUGUAACUGGUGAUUACCAGAGGCCAUGUAAAGGGUCCCGAUUUCAACAGUAUCAAAGUUGAUUCUGAUAGUCUAGUUUUUAGUCUUAUUUUGUAAGGAUACUAACAAUAGAAUUAGAAAAAUGCUUUUACUCCCGUCAGUGGCUCAAUAUAUUCAAGUCCACGCGCCUUUCUGUGUUCACUCACAGUUAGGUGUUGCAAUAUUAUGGAUAUCAUACUCCUUAGGGGCGAAGGUUUAACCAACCACACAAAUUUGAGGCCAUCCAUUUUUUUUUUUUUUUUUUUUUUUAUGUUUUUUUUUUAGGAAGGGGGUGAUGUUAUGGUCUAUUUUCACGCAAAAGCCGACUGCAAUUUGCAGCCGUAUGUCAGUCAAUAUUUAUAAACUUGCUGUGAUCAGCUACCGUACUACAAGAAAAUAUGAAAAUAAAUAACUCUGAAUUGGUCACUACUAGUUAGACAACCAACAGUACCCUUGAUAACACAGCAUAAUUAUCAAACAGUAUUUUGGGUGGCAUAGUCACUAUCACAAGGGUCUGUCAUUGACACCGACGCGAAAGGUUUUACUUUUUGGUUGGAGGUCAGGAAGUCAAGUUCACGUGCCAAUGUGAGGAAAAUUAGGGGUUUUCCUUUGAACGUUUGGAAGGAAUAGCGUGAGGAGUCGGAUAGUUGUGGAAUUGAUGUCUGGUGGGUUUUGGUUUUGUUUGUCAAUCGGCCGAUGUAACGGACUUUUGCUGAGCGGAAGCAAGGGUUAGAAGCGUGUUUUCUAUGCCGGUGUGCUAGGGAAAUUUUAUAUUUUCCCGGAUAAUCACAGCCCUCUUUGAGGGUGCAAGUGUGAGGUCCUAGGUAUACCUACCCAAAUAUAUUAGUCUUCGCAUGGCAUAGGGUUCUGCCUAAGGUGAAGUCACAAUGAUUAAAUACCAAGCUUAACGACUGAAGUUUGGCUAUGUAAGUAAGGGAAAGCAGAAAUCGAAAGGUAGGAGGAUUUUUCCUUUUUUUCUUUGGAGUAUUGGAUUUUCAACGCAGAAAAUUCUACACAGUGGUUAUGUUAAUAUCGUGCGGCUAAGUGGACUGAAACAUUAUCACUUUUCGUUUAAUUUAAGGUUGUUCAUACUUUAAUAACAUUUUCUAUUUUGUUUUUCCUUUUCUUUUUUUAUAUAUAUACAGUAUAAUAUCAAUGUGAGCCUAUAUAGAUCUAUAAGGAGUUUAAUACCGUAACAUGUAUGAAUACAACCUUGGUUACAUUUAAAUAUUUAAUAAUAUUAACUUAAAUAAUUAUGUAUUAUAAAA